UACAGAGGUCCCAAGCGUUGUUCGGAUUCAUUGGGCGUAAAGGGUGCGUAGGCGGCUCGGUAAGUCGGGUGUGAAAUCUCGGGGCUUAACUCCGAAACUGCAUUCGAUACUGCCGUGCUUGAGGACUGGAGAGGAGACUGGAAUUUACGGUGUAGCGGUGAAAUGCGUAGAUAUCGUAAGGAAGACCAGUGGCGAAGGCGGGUCUCUGGACAGUUCCUGACGCUGAGGCACGAAGGCCAGGGGAGCAAACGGG
rnacentral:rRNA from 1 species